rnacentral:lncRNA from 1 species
CUGCCUUUUAGUAAAAUCAAUCAAUUUAAUUAAAUUAAAUAAAACCAGCAUAAUUACCAGUUAUGAGUAGCGGAGGCCUGGUAUUUCACAGGUUAACUCCACUAAGAUCCCAGUGAGGCUCAGGAACAAGUGAUGAAAAAUCCCAUAAAGUAAUAAUUCCAGCAAGCAAGGUUAUCCAAGAAUAUCCCCAUACAGAUCCCAAUGACUGGACGAUACACAGCAUCAGGAGCAGAACUGACGUUUAUUCCACACAACCUCCUUUUAAGCAUUUCUCCCAUGCAAGGGAGGGAUUCACAUUCAUUAAGACAGUACCCAAUGGAAUAGCAGUUACCUCCCACACAUCUCCUUCCCUUAGUAUGACACCAUUAUACAUGUUAUAGUUUUACCCUAGAUCUGGAUGUACCCCAAGAUUAGCA